rnacentral:rRNA from 1 species
GACGAACGCUGGCGGCGUGCCUAAUACAUGCAAGUAGAACGCUGAAGAGAGGAGCUUACUCUUCUUGGAUGAGUUGCGAACGGGUGAGUAACGCGUAGGUAACCUGCCUUGUAGCGGGGGAUAACUAUUGGAAACGAUAGCUAAUACCGCAUAACAAUGGAUGACACAUGUCAUUUAUUUGAAAGGGGCAAUUGCUCCACUACAAGAUGGACCUGCGUUGUAUUAGCUAGUAGGUGAGGUAAUGGCUCACCUAGGCGACGAUACAUAGCCGACCUGAGAGGGUGAUCGGCCACACUGGGACUGAGACACGGCCCAGACUCCUACGGGAGGCAGCAGGAGGGAAUCUUCGGCAAUGGGGGCAACCCUGACCGAGCAACGCCGCGUGAGGGAAGAAGGUUUUCGGAUCGUAAAGCUCUGUUGUAAGUCAAGAACGGGUGUGAGAGUGGAAAGUUCACACUGUGACGGUAGCUUACCAGAAAGGGACGGCUAACUACGUG